UGACCUCGAUCAGGAGGA
rnacentral:rRNA from 1 species